CUGAAUGAAAUAAAAAUCGAAUCAACACUAAAGCCCAAUAACAUGAAAGUUGUGAAGGCCACUGUCAGUACAAACAAUUCAAUAGGGCUUAAAGUCCACAAAACGUUAAAAGCAAUCAAAGAAGUCCAAAACUGAUACCCAAACUUGUUCUUGGUGAUGAUUCCUCCACUCGCUCUGCUCCACCCUACUGUUAGGGAUUAGGAGUUGCUAGAAUUGAAUGAUCUUCAAAAACAUUGCAGAGGUAUAUGCUUACCCUCAUUUUCUUGGCGAUUGCUUUCAUGAAACAGAGAGGCUCGGACUUCAUUCUGAUUUGAGACUGCAUAGAAGUGGAGGUCACUCAUGCUUCGCAUAUUAGAUCUUCCUUUCUACGGAUUGUUUAUACUAGUCGAAGUAUUCAAAACAUAAAAAUUUGUUUAACUUAGAGAUUAUCGGAGGAUUUGUAAAGUUUCCAUGGCUUAAGAUACUUCCAGUAACCUUCAUCCUA